rnacentral:rRNA from 1 species
UCAAACUACUUUAUCGGAGAGUCACACCCGUUCCCAUGCCGAACACGGAAGUUAAGCUCUUCAGCGCCGAUGGUAGUCGGGGGUUUCCCCCUGUGAGAGUAGGACGCCGCCAAGC